rnacentral:rRNA from 1 species
AAGGAUCAUUACCUUUCAAUGCAGCAGAAUGGGGAUGGUUGAGUAUCUCGGCUCUCCGUUCUGCCUGUAUUCUACCCUUGUUUGUCAUAUACUAUUAUUUCCUCGGCAGGCUUGCCUGCCGAGUGAAACCAUUUAUAACCUUUUUAAUUUUCAAUCAGCGUCUGAAAAAAUUAAUAAUUACAACUUUCAACAACGGAUCUCUUGGUUCUGGCAUCGAUGAAGAACGCAGCGAAAUGCGAUAAGUAGUGUGAAUUGCAGAAUUCAGUGAAUCAUCGAAUCUUUGAACGCACAUUGCGCCCCUUGGUAUUCCAUGGGGCAUGCCUGUUCGAGCGUCAUUUGUACCUUCAAGCUUUGCUUGGUGUUGGGUGUUUGUCCCGAGGGACUCGCCUUAAAGUAAUUGGCAGCCAGUGUUUGGUUUUGAAGCGCAGCACAAGUCGCGAUUCAAGGCUACACGCCCGCUUCCACAAGCCUUUUUUCACUUUUGACCUCGGAUCAGGUAGGGAUACCCGCUGAACUUAA